UUCUCUUUAGGGCAACGGAGGAAGGUGCCCUUCUAAUCUCUCGUUAUCUUGUGGCCGGCUUCCACUCGUCUUCCCUUCCCCCCAUUUCUGACCGGCGACGUUGACUUGUUAAAAGAAAUCGAAUUCCUCCAACUCGCUAUUUAGAGUCAUCUCGCCUUCCCCAAUUCCAUCGCCACUCUCUCUCGCUCUUGCUCUCGCUUCGAAUCGGAGAAGGAAAGAAGUGAGGGAACGAUGAAUUGGAUCAGCCGCAAGAUCCAUCUCUACAACGUGACGAUGGGCCUCUACAUGCUCGAUUGGUGGGAGCGCUAUCUCUUCAACAUAUUAAUCCUUAUUUUGCUCUGGUUCAUCUGCUACAAUGGAUCUCGUUUCGCAACUGAGUUCUAUGAAAGCUAUCUGAAGUCCACACUCUUGGCUGGUGGCCACUCUGCAAUGGAAGGAGUUCAUCCUAAUUGAUGAUCAGAAUAUGGAGAGAAAUAAUAAAGUGUGCAAUGAAGUGUAGACUGAUCAUAUUUAGUGGUUUGGAAACGUUUUUUUUUUUUAUUAAUCCCCUGUGCAACAUCGAAGCCCUGAGUUUAUCUGUAUAGUAGAUCACCAUGGGGUGUUUCUUGAAAUAUUGUUCUUUGGAGAACCUGUCUCUUUCUGUAUUAUUCGUGAUGACAUUAAGUAUAACUUCUCUCUUAAUGUAGUAGGUGGAGCUUGACUCCUCUCUUUUCUUUAAACAAAAAUUGUAUACUUUUUUUCAUGAAAUUAUUUCCAUACAACAUA